CCCCCACCCCCCUGCCCCCCGCCCCACUCCCGGCCUCCGUACACACACUGCGCCUUUCACACUCGGGCUGCCCCCGGCCCCCCUCCCCUUCUCUCCCCUUUGCAGUGUCUUCACAUGCAAUCUCUCUCUGAAUGUGCAAUGUCUUUCCUGCUCGGGAGUGCCUCGUCCUUCACAGUGGAUUGGUUCCUCUUUCGGAGCAGAGGUAACGGCUCCCCCCCUCUUCUCCAUCAUUCCCCCUUCCUCCCCCUCCUCCUUUUCUUCCCCCAGGGCAGGCAAACGGCGUGGGAAAUGGGCCCGACGUGCACUGCAUGGUGGAUGGCAGUGUCGCUCCGGCUCCACGUGUCGCGGCUGCCGGGAGGGGGCCAGGGCUGGCCUGCCCCCUUCCCCCCUCCCCCCGCAUCCCGCUGCUUCGUUUCGUGCUGGGGAAGUGGGGGGGAAGGGAAGCCCAGCCACCCCCCGGCCCCGCGGAGAGCCGGUCCCAGCGGCUGCGGGCGGGGGAGGGCUCCCCCCACAACCAGCCGGGCAAAGCUGUUGCGCAGCACAGCCCCCCCUGCCCACCCGAUGCGCACAGACGCCCACACGCGCUCAGACGUUUGUCCUCCUGAUCUGGUGAGAUCAAGUGGGAAGCGGGAUCGCCAGCGUAAUCGGCUGUAAUAAAUAAAAUAGCCCGAGAUGCCGGAGAUAUACAGAGGGGAAAUAAGAGCUUGUGUCCUUAAAGGGAACAUCUGAUAAGGCCACGGAGGUGGCAUCGUGCGUGUGGGAAGGAAUCCGUCUUGCUGACAUUCGCAGCCUGCUGUACGUGGGGGAAUCCUAAAGCAGGCUGGGAGCUUCCCCAGCUCCUCUGCACCCCCCAGCGCUGCUUUUCGAAGCUCUGCAACGGGGCUUUCCUACUGUGGUAGUGAUUGGAAAGACGGGGUCACGGCUGAGAUAUGCAGAUGCCAUUAGUGUUUGUUCGGCUAUGUCCCGGCGGUCCCUGCUCCCUCCGCCUUCAGCCCGGAACGGUUCGGUUCUGCAGUUCGGGAAUGUCGGUGCCUCUGACCAGAGAGUUACCUUUCUGGUCUGCAGUGGGAGCCAACCUCAAGAGAAGGGUUAUUUAAUCAUUUAUAUAGCUUUGUGCGUUAAUCAAUGCGUAUUAUUAGUUUGUGCCCACACACGCACGCGCACCAAAGAAGGGGGAAAAAAAUCAGGUGAGCUGGGAAAUAACAUAUUCAUAAUAAUACGAGGAAAAGGUUAAAUACAGUAAACAUGACAGCAAAUUCGAACGCGGGAGAAAAACGACGACAAAACCCCCAUAGAAAGCAGUUAAAACCGUUUGGCUGAAGGGAGAAAGUAACUCAAGAACUCCACCAAGGGACAAACAGAGGAAAUGACACCACAACAGCGCUAAGCCCGCGUUGACCUUUCAUCUCACUAAAGUGUCCCGCUGCUCUGGUGCAGUUCUGCUGUGAUCCCUUCACCUUCCUCCCCUCCCUCCGAGCUCCCGAGUCGGCGGCAGUGUUUGAGCGCGGAGGUCGCAGAAUUACAAGGAGGGCUGACACUUGCCCGGUGCCUUUCACAGCUUUGCAGAAACUCUCACUGUGCAGCAGUGUGGACAAAAAUGAUUAAAUUAUUCAUUGCAGCCUUACUGAUGGACAUUAAAACUUAAGUGUUUAAAUAAGGAAACCGAAGAUUUACUUUUAAGCUGAUAAUAACUGCAUCUGUGCUGGUUGAAUUGAAUGCUGGCUAAAUGUGGAACUGGUUACGUUGUUUAAAUCCUCUCUCUUUUACUCACUGUGAGCAGUGUGAACUGGAUAACACAACUAUGUUACUGGCAGAGCAAACUGUUUAAAUCUUACGUAAUUAUAACUGUUUGCUCUUAAAGCAGUAUUUGAGGUCUGUUCAAAAUAAAAGGUUGUUUUCUUGCAUCAGCAUCAUUUCACCAACCUGAGUUCUUACAUUUACAAAAGAAUGCUUCCAAGUAACAUUAAGGAAAAGUAGUAGUUGCUCUUUUUAAAAAAAUUUAUUUAUUUAUUCCAGUGUAUAUUGCCUCUACAAAUUGCAAUGAAUAAGCUUGAGGCCUUGAAGCUUUUAUUUCCUUUUUGUUUUUUAAAAAAAGUCUCAAUUCCAUAGGAUCAGUUCCGAAGGGACUUUUCCAAGCGGUGUUGUUAGCAGGGGUUUUUUGUUGUUAUUGUUGUUGGGUUUUUUGUUUGUUUGUUUGUUUUCAGGUGCCAAAAUAUCCAAGCAUUCAAAAUCAUGCAGAAGUGUUUCCAGCUGUCUUAGUUUCAACUGGGACAGAAUAUUAUGCUUGAAAUGAGAAGGAAAAAUUAUUGUAAAGUUUUUAAAAAGCGUACAAAUUUUCAUGAGGGAAGGCAGAUAUGGGGUAUCUUUAUGCUUUAUUGAAAACUACUGGAUUUUCUGGAUGUGUAGGAAUACAAGUAACUGCUGUACACUGCUCCAUUAUUUUAUAGAAUUAGUAUUAUUUAUUUAAACUACUCUUCCAUUUUUUAAGUGCAAAGAAAACUGUAGGGAAAAAAAAAGUAGUUAUGGUGUGUGUGCAUGAAUUCAUAGCAAAAACAGGGAAAUUAUGAAUCAUUAGAGUGUAUUCUAUUUAAGGAGAAACAAUGAGACAUUCAGGGGAAAUAAUUAAGGCUGGAUCUAAUGUAAAUGAAAUGUAUUGAAACCAGGUAACACUGACAAAGAAAGAAAAAUGUGUUAAUUGUCAGUGGAAAUAUUAAAUGUUGACAGUUGUUACACAUAUGGACUCACCAGUACAGAACACCACUGUUAAGUUUAGAAAUAAUGUAGGAUUUUUUGCUGCAAUGUUUUAUAUUUUUAAAUGUAUACUUUUUAUAUAAAUUUAAUAUCAGUGGUGAGCACAUUUAAGGUCUCAAAGCACUGUGUAAAUUAUCUCUGUGAGAUGGAGGGAACUGCAGUGACCUGUUCAGUCACCCAGUAAGCCACUAACAAAUGGCUCUUUCCAGGUUCCUCAGACCACAGCUUAGCAGUUCUACAGUUUUUGAAUGUAUCCUGGAUUUGGCUCAGUAUUCUUCUUUUAAUAUGUGGCAGUUAUUUCCUCUUUAUUUUAUGGACUGAUGGAAAGUCAAAGCAGCUCAUUCUAAAGAGAGUUUAAAACAAAUUUGUGUACCAGAGAACUUCACAUACAAAGGAAAGUCUUGUAUCAUGCAACGUAUUGGGUACCAGUAAAACAUAACAAACAGUUAUAUUGGAAUAAGUUAUCCUCAAGUUUUUAUUCUGUCUUAUUUUUGUCAGCUAACCCUAAUACACAGAACAAUUUGCACAGGCUUUCUAAAACAAUUUUGCUUCUACAUACUGAUGACAUUUUCUCAACUUAAUUUCAUUUUUCUCUUCUAUGCUCUACAUGUAUUUAUUUAUUUAUUAUCCAGUUUCAGCUUUCUGUUGGGUAGAAACAGAAAUAUCUGAGCAAGAUGGCAGCUCUGCAGAGCUCAAAGAAAGAAGUUAAUAUAUUAAAAUUCAAGUGCUGUGAUGGACAACUGAAUUCUAUGCAAAUUAAGCCUCUUCUGUAAGUUAACCACAAUAUAUGUUGUUGGUUAUAUCCUAAAUGUUAUUUUUAAGUUUAGACAUAUAUUCACUUGCUUAUUUCUGAACUUUGAUGUUUCUGUUUAUUUCAUCAAAAUAAUCAUUGCUCUUCAGCAGAAAUAAGGGCUAUACAGAUACACAGCUAUUAUAAAUUAAGGAAAUAAAUGUAGUGACAAGAGAAGUAAUAGGCUGUCCAAUAAGCAAGCUGCUGAUUGCUUAUUGGUCAGCCUAUUUUGGCCUUGUUCUUAAAUGAUUAAAAUAGCUUUACUAUAAAAUAUUAGACUCUCCAUUUAUUUUCAGAUAAAAAGUGCAACGUUAGAACAUUGUUGUAUUGUUACAAUUCUUACUUAGUUGUGAAGUGCAGCAGCAUUUAAUUUUCUCCCUGUUACCUUUGACCCUAAUACUGUUUGACCCUGACAGAGCUGUGACUAUUCACCAAAACGUGUAUGGACUGCUCACUUGGUCCCAUCUACUUUUAAUGUUGAGCAGGAGGAAGCAACAGUGAGAAGAGUCAGAGUCCCCUGCAGCUUUUCAUGAACAUUCCUCUGUAUUGCACAGCUCCAUUGGAAGAGCUUUUAUGCUUGGUCAGAAUAGGAAUUUGAGUUUAGGAAAGGGGCUGCAUAGACAUAGCCCUGAAACUUAUCCUGUCUUUGCCCUCCUGUUGCCGUUUCUGCAUCUUCUGUCAUGUACAGGAAGCCAUAUUUUUAUGCCAGUUCAACUAUUUUGAAAAGCUUUUUAUUGUUCUUGUUUGUUUGUUUUUGGAGAUCAUCAUUCACAUAAUUACAAUUCUAGCUUUCUUUAUAAGAGUAAUAAGUGCUGUACAGAGAAGGGUUUUACAACCUGCAAUAUAUCUAGAGGAAGAAAGGAACUGAUAAGUUCCCACAUUUUUCAUCUUCUGAAAGAAGCCUGACAUAUCUUCCAUUUCAUUCAUUCUGUGAGAUGAUUAAAAAGUUGCUCAACAAACUAAGCCUCAUCCAGGGCUCAGCAGGAAAUAACUGCAAUCUAAGCACAUUAAAGAACAGACAGGGCAACCAAAGUGUACCUCUUUCUUUGCCUUUCAAGAUCAUGGGCAAAAGAGAAAAGCAGUGUAAUAUUCUGAUAAAACGGGAAGCUAGCAGAAGCUGGUUGAUAGGUAAGGUUAUAGAACCUAAUCCAAAGCACACAGAAGUCAAUGGAAAUACUCUGACUAAAUAAGCUUUGCAUUAGGCACCUAGUGAGUAAAUGAUGUUUAAAGUAUUCAUGCAGAUCUUAGUCAGAUGAGUGAAGAAGAAAGUGAUGCACAUUCUAAUCAAAAUAAAUGCUAUUAAACCACUUGGUAUAAAUGUUAUUUUGGCUGACCUGAGAGUUCACCUUUAUGACUCAGAAUAAACUGGAAGUGGAUCCCUCGGUGCUAAGUUCUAUGUCCUAUCAUUUGAUAGUACAAACACUUUGAUUACAUAGAAAUGUGUAUAUAUGUAUAUAUGUUUAGAAUAUAACAAUGUAUAUGGAGGUGACUUUUAAAAUCGGUUAGUGCCUUUAUAAUCUGCAGAGAAAGUCCUUCUGGAAAUACUUUUCUCACAUGACUAAAAUGCCUUCCUUUUUGAUCUUAAAUUUAUUUUAGCUGUUAUGUACCUAUUCUUAUGUUGAUAUUGAUCUUAAAGAUCAAUACCAGACUAUAAACAUCUGCAAGCUCUGUUUAUUCAUUCAUGUGUUUACAGAGAGCAUUUCCUUCAUGUUAGUUCUGUUUGCAAGAUUUUUCAAUUUUGUCUCAUGAAAUAAGUUCUGCAUUCCUGACAUCAAGCUGACAGUCUUCUCCCUAACUCCACUCUAUCUUCAGUGAAUCUUUGUUUAAUAUGGAGAAGAGGGCCUAUUCAAGGUUUUCACAAAGAAGAUAUGUGAAAUAACAUUACACACUACUUUCUUUUCCACUCCUUUUCUAAUUUUUCAUUUUUAAUAGCUACAUAAUACUUUGGUAGCUGAUAGUCCUUCUCUAGUUGCUUAUCUAGAUCUUCCUCUUUCUCUGUCAUUUCAACCUGAUGUGAUUGCAGGUCACAGCAAAAAAACCUCUUGUUACAGUGCUUUUUGUAGCAUUUUAAGUUGAAUGCUAUUUCUAUUAUAGGAGUUACUAAGGUCAACUGAUACUUCCUGUAGUUUUUAUGAUUUUUUAUGAUUCCCAAAAUUGAAUUAUUGGCAGUAUACUCCAAGUUUUGUUUACUUGUUUUUUUGUUGUUGUUGUUCUGUGUUGGUUUGUUGUUGUUGUUGUUUGUUUGUUUUGUGAUUCUAGUCUUUGAUUCAAAUAUUAAAAAUAUCCUCUUACAGUACUCUCCUUGAAGAACCCCACUGGUAGCUCCCACCUGAUAAUACAAACACAUAACAAAAUCUACUGUCCUCUCCUGGUUAACCAAUUCUUUAUCUUCUCAGUCUUAACUAACAGUUUUCCUACUGAGACAGAAAUUAGCUGUUUUGAAACCCGGAUUGGUGAGAUCUCCAUUUGUUUUGUAUAGAAGAUAAAUUAUUAGAUAAAGAUACCAGGUAUAUGGUAUGAUCUACUUGUUGAAAAGUUUAGAUAGAUCUUAUUGUUUUCUUUGUAAUUCUGUGCCACUACUCUUUCCUUGCCUGAAAAUUUACUCUAAAGCUUUACCUUUUAAAACCAUCUGAGAAUCAUAUUGAAAGAUCUGAUUACUUCGUAUCUUCAAAACCUGUUCUCAAAUAGCAUUUGCUGUUUUCCUUGAAUGCUCAUCCUGAAGCAGUUAAGAAUCCUUGUUCUAGAUCCUUCAGUUUCAGGUAUUAAUUCCCAUAGGAUUCUGCAGUAAAGGUUAUCCAGGUUCUUUGAUUUGAGUAUUUUGUAGUCUUUUAGUUAUUUUCAGAUGCAAUAAUUCUUCUUGAUGGUGGACUGGACGAUUUUGUAGGUCCUUUCCAACCUUGUGAUUGUAUGAUUCUGUGAUUCUCUUCCACAUCCUUAACCUCAUUAAUUAUAUUCCUCAUAUCCAUACCAUGAUCCUUGUUGAAAACUGAAAAAAAAUAUAUUAAUUUAAUUGGGCAUCUCUUUGUGAAUAAUUACAAAUUCAUUAAUUUUUGCUAAUUUGCUGCCUGUUCUGAUAUUCUGCAAACAUGAAGCCAUUGCUUUCCUGGCAAUUUUUAAGUAAGAUCUGAAGGUUUAUGUUUCAUACUUGUUAAAAUCUACAAGGAGAUACACUAUAUGCAUAUUAUGUUCUUCUGUCACUGCAUGUGUUUGUCCCUGUCUUGUCCAUGUAUUGUCUACAUAUUAACAGUCCUUCAUUUUGCGCGUCUGAAUACAUCAUAGUAACAGAAGGGGAAUGAGAGGGAAAACGUAACUGAUGAACACUAGAUCACUCCAAGACAAAAGAGAAUAUGUCUGACAAAAAGGAAUUUAGUACUUUCAAAGAGCUGAAUAAUGUAUAGCUGGAAGAACAAGGAGAAAAGAAACUGCAAACAUGCAUGGGUUUGGCAUUUUAUGAGAAAAGAGCUGUUCUGAAUGUCAGAUGUCAAUCCAAAUGGAGAGAAAUGUUGCCAGUUGCUAGAUGUUACCAGGCUGAAUAUAUAGAAAGUGGUGAGAUUUUUAGUUUUAAAAUAAGCCCCAAUGAACAAGCAAAAUUCAUCAUUGUAAAAAUGUUCCAAGAAGAUUCUUCCAUUAUGCACCUUAGAGAAGAUUAGAGAGAAAGAUUAGAAAGGGAAGAGGAAGAAAGGGAUUUUUUUUUUAAUUUUACAAACAAACACAAUUAAAAUUUUAUAAGGGAGAAAUGAGAAAAUGCAGAUUUCAGAAGCUGAGGGAGUUCCAAUAUUCGUUUUAAAAUUAUACAUCAACACAGCUGGGAGAAUCUACUUUUAAACUAAGUUAUUUAUCUUUUAUUUAUUAACUUUUAUUUUUCUUUAAAAUCCAUUUUGACAUUUUUGUACUAAACUAUUUUUUUCUCAAAGAACGCUCCGUGACACUUACUGUGGGUACACUCAAUUUACAACAGUUUCGGAAAGUGAAGGCAAAGUAAUGAGAAGUUUUCUUGUUCUCAUAUAAUGUGCUAUUCCUGGAAGAAAUAAAUGACUUUACUUGUUAUUAGAACUAAUCUGAAAAUUAAAAGUAAAAAUGAAACUUUAAUUAUUAUGACUUUGAGUUAGUUCCUACAACAUAUACUCUUUUUUGUUUUAAAGUUUAUUAUUGCUUUAUUGAGCUUUAGAAUAUUCUUCUGCCCUCCAGGUCUGAAGCUCUAGUUAAGUUUUUGGGAAAAAACAAACAAACAGCAACAACAACAACAACAAAAACAUAUGGAUUCAACAACAUGUGAUAAUGAAGCUAGAUUAUUUUGUCCAUGAUAAGAUUUACAAAAAAUCUUAUUUAAACAUUUCAUUCAGCACUUUCAUGCAUUUCAUUAUGAGCCUGAUCUUUUUCAAGAAGUGACCUUUUGUGAGUAUUUUGUCUGCACAUUAAAAUGUACCCAGGUUUUUCAAGUUGCCAUCCACUGAAAAACUGAAUUUUACAUAAAAUCAAUGGGAAAUUCCUCCAUUUUUAGAAAAUAAAUUACUCAAAGAUUUUUUUCACAUUGGGUGUGUUCUAACAUGUGGUUAACUAAGACCUUCUUGACAGUUUUAGUUUUUUGCCUAGGAAGUACUCUCUUCAGAUAUUAUGUGACCUCUUUUCUGGGACGUAACAAUGUGGAAAGGGAAACUGACAGUUUUAAACACAGAGGACUGAAGGAGCUGAAUAGAGAUGAAAAGAUGAAGAAGGAUUAUUGGCUGUCCUGUGUUUCAGUGAUGUCAAAAACUAACCGUGAAAUUUAUUAUAAAAUUAUCCUAUUCACACAGGAUGGUAAUAUUUACUUGUUCAUAUAGCAAACACUUAUUCAGCAGAAGAAAAUCACAUGGUUUUGGUGAUGAACCAUGCAAGCUUCACUAACAGUUCAUAUGAUUUUAAAUUUGUUUUUCAUUUAGUUUAGCUUUUAACUGAGAAAUGUUCAAUUCAAAAUUAAUACCAAAACUAAAGACUACUGUCAGGAACAUCAAGCCAUCUAAAUGUCAUCCUGGGUAAUUGGCUGUAGGUGGCCCUGUCUGAGCACUAGUGUCAGACCAGAUGAGUCCAGAAGUUCCUUCUGGCCUCAAUCAUUCUAUGAUUCUGAUUGCCUAACAUUAUUACUAUUACCAGAUUAAACAUUCACAAGUUAGGAAAUACCAGAAUAAAGCUGACCCUCGAUUCACAUGUGAUCGCAUCAUACAUUACAGUGUUUGCUAGUGAACUUAUUACACAUUCACAUGCUCUUCCCACAUUGCAUUUCAAUUUGGAAUAGUAAAUAAACAAAUAACAUUAAGUACAAACACUUAUUAAAUAAUGAAACAAAUACUUAUCAAUAAGUUGAAAUAUUAAGUAUACUUUUGUUUAAUUACUCAGGACAAAUGUCUUGUUUCACUUUUAAUACGUAACUAUUUAGUAAGCUUGAUUUUUUCACAUUCGGUGUUUCUCUCAAGAUCUUAUUUCCUUACACUGUUGAAAUGACAUAAUGGACUCAGAAUUAUAAAAUUGAAUUUUUUAUGAUGUACAUCACUGCAUUGUCCGAACUAUUAAACAGUAACUAAUUUGUGAAGAACUAUAUUAUCAUCAUGAUAAUUAUGAUUAAAAAAUGGGAAGCCAGUGUGGAAAUGAGGAUCAAAAAUGCCCACAGAUUUAGGAUAGUUAAUCUGACUUGUAUCUGUAUUUUGGAAAGUUCUAAGAUUUUGGUAGUUUUCACAUAUGCAAAACAAAACUUUCACUGACAUAAGGUAUAUUUGGAGAUGAUCACUGUUCCAGUCUCCAGAUUUCAUGUAAGAACUCAGAUGAAGUCACAUUCAAAAUGUUUUUUCUGCGACUUUCUUAAUACCAUGGGGAAAUUCAACGGUGGAAAUGAGUGCCAGACUCUGGAUUGAAAGUACAGAGUUCUAACACUACUAAAUGAUAUUUUCCUCCUUGAUUUCACUUCAGAGAAGGUCAUUUCUGUACAACAAAGAAAAUAGGGGCCUUGGGGAAAAAUAUACCUUUAAUGAAAGACUGUCAGACUACACAAGUGCAUGGAACUAUGGUUCCACUUACAACUUCAUUUCCGUAAUUUUCUAACUAUGAAAUGAGCAUUUCAGAUUAUAACCCUAAUAAUGUCCUCCUAAUAUAAUUGUAUGGCAUAUAGUAAUCUUUAUUGCAGACAAGAUAGCGAAGAUCACCAUCUCUACAUAGGAAAUGGUUUUUGGUAUAGAACACAUAAGAGAAGAAAGAACUGGUGUGAGGAGGACACUUGAACAAGCAUAAGAAUGGGAUGCAGAGGUGGGAGGAAUUACCAAAUGCUGUAGUCUUCUCUCUGGGCAUCUUUUACUGUAAAAGUGUGGUAACAUUUGCUAGAACAGAUGAUUAAGGCUGUACAGGUUUCACAGACAGAAUAAAAUUUAGUGGAAGGACUUGAAAGAUUCAGACAUGAAAUUCAUUGAGUGAAAGGAGUUAGAAAAGGUCAGGUCCAGAGGGGCAACAUAAAUGUAAUGACAACUAAGUAUAGUUCUAUGAACAAAAGUUUGGAUGACCAAUUAUUUUUCCGAGAUUAGGUCAGUUUAGGAUAUGUUAUAAAAAUAUGUAAAUAAAACCUAUAAAUUAGGUUGGAAUACCUAUAUGUGAAAGAGAAUACCUUGAUCAUUUCCCAUCACCCGGGAAUAUCUCUGUUUUGAAAAACAUAAAAGUAAUUCAGAAAACUUAAAGUCAUUUGAGAUAUUAUACAAAGUGGAAUUUGAGAACUGGAGAAAAAUACAUCUACUCUAUGUUCAAUUAACUAAUGAAACUAUUUGGCUACAGAAUUAUGCAACCUUACUUUCUCUCUUUUUCUUAUAGAAAAAACUCAUAUAUUCUCCAACCUUCUCCCCUCCCCCCCUCUCCGCCCCCUUCUUUCCGAACAUACGGCAAGCUUUUUGUCUACUCUGCUGUAUCUCAGACAAGAAGAAAACACUCUGAGGAUGUACAGAAAUAUGCCAGUAUGUACAAGUCUUUUUAGAGCACGUAGGCAGCUCAACCAGUGUAACAGAGAGAAAAGUCUGGAUGUAUACUUUUCUUUCUUCCUGUUGAUAAUUGAAGACUGUGAAGAAGGUGAAUCCAUAGUCUUAUGAAUACUCCUUGCUUCUAAUUUUGGUUGUGGUUACACAGGCAACAAAUGUAGGUAACAUGAGUGCUGAACAGCCUCAUAACCCCUUGUGUGGACACAAAGCCAGGAUCACAGUCUGCCUCUUCAAGAUCUGACAAUUUCAUGAAAUACUGUAAUCUGAUUUAUAUCUUUUAUUUUAUUCCUUUUUAUAAUGCAGAGAAAAUAUGCAUCCCUGAAUCAAGGUACGACACAGCAUGUGGGGUGGAAAACAAGGAGUGUAAUAAAAGGUGCUAUAAUAAAAAUGUGUUCAUAUUUCAGUGUGAAACUGGUUCUUGGGAAUUCAAAGAAAUUUCCCAUAUGUAGAAGAAAUUUGCUUGGAACAACUCUUCUGAUACUUAGCUGAUACUUAGAAUCCUGGAACACAGUGAACCCCAAGUUCUGUGGUGACUAGAAUAUGAUGUCCUAGUGCUGCAGAACUUUAAAAGCCAUAUUUGAAUAUUUGAUUUUAAAAUAAUGGUUAAAUAUUCAUUUGCAAAAUAGCAUGACUUAACAGGUUUUUUUUGUUUUUCAUGGAUCAUAGAGAAGUUGUGUAUACUGUACCUAUGCAUGUCACCAAAAACCAAAUAAAUUUCUAAAAUAAGCCUGCUUUCUGAUAUUGUGUUAGGAAACAUGGCUCUGUAUCUCUCAUUUAACUAGGAUUAAAUUUGACAAGAUAUUCAGGCAUUGGGGCAAACACACGAUAGUGAAAAGGAGGACAUAAGUUGUGACUGACUGCACUUUUGCUACCAUUCUCAAGAGGUGACACAGUAAUGUUUAGUGGAACCACAGCAAAAAGAACGAAUACCUGCAAGGCACCAUCUGGCAAUUAAUAUUGUGUUGCUGCAAAUAUAUCUUUAAUGGGAAUAAGUGACUGAAACUUUCACAAUUUUCUGUGUUGAGUGCAGUAACAGAAACAGAAUGCAGAGAAGCAGCAUUUCACAUCUCCUAUUUUCUAAC
ensembl:lncRNA